UAACACGUAAACAACCUGCCUUCAGGAUGGGGACAACAGACGGAAACGACUGCUAAUACCGAAUGUGUUCCGGAGACCGCAUGAUUUCCGGAAGAAAGGAUGGCCUCUAUUUAUAAGCUAUCGCCUGAAGAGGGGUUUGCGUCUGAUUAGGCAGCUGGUGAGGUAACGGCCCACCAAACCUACGAUCAGUAGCCGGUCUGAGAGGAUGAACGGCCACACUGGAACUGAGACACGGUCCAGACUCCUACGGGAGGCAGCAGUGGGGAAUCUUCCGCAAUGGACGAAAGUCUGACGGAGCAACGCCGCGUGAGUGAUGACGGCCUUCGGGUUGUAAAGCUCUGUGAUCGGGGACGAAUGGCUGGUGUGCUAAUACCACAUCAGAGUGACGGUACCCGAAUAGCAAGCCACGGCUAACUACGUGCCAGCAGCCGCGGUAAUACGUAGGUGGCAAGCGUUGUCCGGAAUUAUUGGGCGUAAAGCGCGCGCAGGCGGCUUCUUAAGUCCAUCUUAAAAGUGCGGGGCUUAACCCCGUGAUGGGAUGGAAACUGGGAGGCUGGAGUAUCGGAGAGGAAAGUGGAAUUCCUAGUGUAGCGGUGAAAUGCGUAGAGAUUAGGAAGAACACCGGUGGCGAAGGCGACUUUCUGGACGACAACUGACGCUGAGGCGCGAAAGCGUGGGGAGCAAACAGGAUUAGAUACCCUGGUAGU
rnacentral:rRNA from 1 species